UCAAUUAUUAAAAUUAUUUUAUUAAAUUUAAAUUUAUUACAAUGUUAAAUUCAAUUUUACUACUAUUUUAAAAUAUCAUACCAAUAAAUUUUUAAAAAAUAGUGUUAAUAAUUGAAUAAAAAAAACUAAAUUCCUAAAUUAAAGAAAUUUGUAAAGAGCACAGUACUUAAGGUAUAUUUUAACCAAACUGAAAUCCCCUUCACACAAGGGUGGAACAAAGUCCAACAGGGCUGCUAUCAAGUACUUACUACCCUCCACACCUGGUGCAUACAUUACUUUGGGAGCCGAUGCUGCCUUGGUGUGAGCCCCGGAAAUAGCCAAUGUCCGUAUGGAUUUGUCAGGCAUUGGCCUGGGUACUCACUGCGUUUCCAACCCAAAUCAAGACCCAUUUUCCUUCGCCGUUUUGAUCUAUGCAAAAGCCAUGGACAACGACGUCUACCCCGCCGAGUUUAGCUUGGACUCGUUUAACCAGCCUGGAAAGUUGGGACUUUUUAGGAGUUUUGCCAAUGGAACAGUCCCUAUCAGUGUCUUGGUUUGCUAAAACAAUACAGGCAUGGCUUGGAACAGCUCUUUUCCAUGUACGUUUGGACAGUGUUCUACCAAUGGGAGACUAAAGAUUUUGCGGGAAAGGAGCCCAAUUAGUGCUCCAUUUGUGGAUUGAGAGAUGGCAGGAAACCAGAAUUCAGCAAUGCAUCUUUGUGUUGGUGGCUUGCAUAGAGAGGUUAGCUUUUGUGCUCCAUCACCAACUUAAAUAAUAAGUGCAAGAAUAUUAAUAAGUAUUAAGUGCAGUGGUUAAAAGGGUACGAAAGAUAAAAGAAUUGGAAAGCAAUUAAGCCAAUCAAAUCCUGUUUCACUUGGUUGUCAACUCAAGGUGAUGGAUGAGUAAUUAAAAGUUAAAAACCACUGUUGAUAAGCUUGGUUUGAAAAAGGAAUCUUUAUGUCCCCAUACAGCUUGCUUGAAGUGGCUGGUGGACAGCUAAAAGUGCAAUGUAUUGUCCACAUCAUGGAUCCCAUCCUUUGUGAC
rnacentral:lncRNA from 1 species